CAUCAUAUUUAUAUAUAUAAAAAGAUGGAGUACAUACAAAACCAUCAAGUUUAAAAGUAUAAUUAACGUGUUCGAGGCACAGCUCGUAACUACACAUACGGUAAACAAAAUAUAUAUAUUCGGUCACAGCCGUCAUCAAAAUGCAUGAUCAUAAACCAAUAUAUAUAAAGUCUCGACCCACCAAAAUUGGAAGAGGCUAAGUUGGUUAGUAGAGAUAUAUUUACCAAAAACAGCAACAUAUAAUACUUCAUCAUAUAAUAGAACGGGAGAAUGUGGAGCUCCAUGUCUGCCGUCUUGCCGUCAACUCCUUAACCUGAAAAGAAUCAUAAAUAAUAGGGUAUGAGUGUGCAAGCACACUCAGUGGGGUAAACACUGCAAGCAGUUAUAACCAAUUGUGUAAUGAAUCAUAACAUGUUGAACUCUUAUAAUUUUUCACUUAGCUGACAUCUUGUGAGACUAGUCUCGGUCCCUUGUGGACCUGACCCCUUGUGGGCCGUUCAGCUCUUUGAUCCCUUGUGGAUCCGACCCCUUGUGGG
rnacentral:lncRNA from 1 species